AUACGGAGGGUGCGAGCGUUGUUCGGAAUCACUGGGCGUAAAGGGCGCGCAGGCGGUCUGUCAAGUCAGAUGUGAAAGCCCACGGCUCAACCGUGGUCGUGCAUCUGAAACUGGCAGACUCGAGUACCGGAGGGGAAAGUGGAAUUCCCGGUGUAGAGGUGAAAUUCGUAGAUAUCGGGAGGAAUACCGGAGGCGAAGGCGACUUUCUGGACGGAUACUGACGCUGAGGCGCGAAAGCGUGGGGAGCGAACAGGAUUAGAUACCCUAGUAGUCC
rnacentral:rRNA from 1 species